AGAGUUUGAUCCUGGCUCAGGACGAACGCUGGCGGCGUGCCUAAUACAUGCAAGUCGAACGAACUCUGGUAUUGAUUGGUGCUUGCAUCAUGAUUUGCAUUUGAGUGAGUGGCGAACUGGUGAGUAACACGUGGGAAACCUGCCCAGAAGCGGGGGAUAACACCUGGAAACAGAUGCUAAUACCGCUAUAACAACUUGGACCGCAUGGUCCGAGUUUGAAAGAUGGCUUCGGGCUAUCACUUUUGGAUGGUCCCGCGGCGUAUUAGCUAGAUGGUGGGGUAACGGCUCACCAUGGCAAUGAUACGUAGCCGACCUGAGAGGGUAAUCGGCCACAUUGGGACUGAGACACGGCCCAAACUCCUACGGGAGGCAGCAGUAGGGAAUCUUCCACAAUGGACGAAAGUCUGAUGGAGCAACGCCGCGUGAGUGAAGAAGGGUUUCGGCUCGUAAAACUCUGUUGUUAAAGAAGAACAUAUCUAGAGAGUAACUAGUUCAGGUAUUGACGGUAUUUAACCAGAAAGCCACGGCUAACUACGUGCCAGCAGCCGCGGUAAUACGUAGGUGGCAAGCGUUGUCCGGAUUUAUUGGGCGUAAAGCGAGCGCAGGCGGUUUUUUAAGUCUGAUGUGAAAGCCUUCGGCUCAACCGAAGAAGUGCAUCGGAAACUGGGAAACUUGAGUGCAGAAGAGGACAGUGGAACUCCAUGUGUAGCGGUGAAAUGCGUAGAUAUAUGGAAGAACACCAGUGGCGAAGGCGGCUGUCUGGUCUGUAACUGACGCUGAGGCUCGAAAGUAUGGGUAGCAAACAGGAUUAGAUACCCUGGUAGUCCAUACCGUAAACGAUGAAUGCUAAGUGUUGGAGGGUUUCCGCCCUUCAGUGCUGCAGCUAACGCAUUAAGCAUUCCGCCUGGGGAGUACGGCCGCAAGGCUGAAACUCAAAGGAAUUGACGGGGGCCCGCACAAGCGGUGGAGCAUGUGGUUUAAUUCGAAGCUACGCGAAGAACCUUACCAGGUCUUGACAUACUAUGCAAAUCUAAGAGAUUAGACGUUCCCUUCGGGGACAUGGAUACAGGUGGUGCAUGGUUGUCGUCAGCUCGUGUCGUGAGAUGUUGGGUUAAGUCCCGCAACGAGCGCAACCCUUAUUAUCAAGUUGCCAGCAUUAAGUUGGGCACUCUGGUGAGACUGCCGGUGACAAACCGGAGGAAGGUGGGGAUGACGUCAAAUCAUCAUGCCCCUUAUGACCUGGGCUACACACGUGCUACAAUGGAUGGUACAACGAGUUGCAGAACUCGCGAGAGUAAGCUAAUCUCUUAAAGCCAUUCUCAGUUCGGAUUGUAGGCUGCAACUCGCCUACAUGAAGUCGGAAUCGCUAGUAAUCGCGGAUCAGCAUGCCGCGGUGAAUACGUUCCCGGGCCUUGUACACACCGCCCGUCACACCAUGAGAGUUUGUAACACCCAAAGUCGGUGGGGUAACCUUUUAGGAACCAGCCGCCUAAGGUGGGACAGAUGAUUAGGGUGAAGUCGUAACAAGGUAACC
rnacentral:rRNA from 2 species